rnacentral:misc_RNA from 1 species
CGCGCGAGCCGCUCCGCGUCCUGGCAGUGCGACGUCGGGUCAGACCUGUGUGUGCAAGGUGUGCAGAGAGCGCGCAAGCCGCUCGUUCUCUUGACGGAGGGAGGGGGUGAGAGGAGGUGAUGGGGAGAGAACGGCCCUCCUCUUGCGGCCGUCCUGGACGAUACGAAAUCGGGCGCACAUCAGUCCCAGCAGCAUCGCUGGUGGUCGGAGACACACGAGAUUUGCGCACGCGCAAAGCAGAACCCAUUUCUCUCUCCUCGCAAGGAGAGCCUGUCACGCAGGCAUGCUGUCGACGACACCCGUGCAUCGCGCCGGCCUCCUCUCCACCUUGAUUGCGAAUGGCGCUCUCCAUGCGGCGCACCUCGCCUCCAUGCAGACCCCUGCCGGGGCCCUAAUCCUCUCUGGAUGCGUCUUCCGUUGCCUUGCGAUGCCCUUUACCAUCUACGGUGACCAAUGCCUGCACCGCGUAGCCUGUGCUCUUCCAGAGCUGCACGAUGCGCACAAGGAGUACCUCGACAUCGUCGACCACCCGCGUGCGAUCGCGUGGGAAAAGCGCGUGGCGGCGCAGAAGCUGAAGAACGACCGUGACCGCAUCUUUCGCAGCUUUCGCACCAACAACGUGAAGAUGACGGCGCCGUACGCGGUCGGCUCGGCGCUGUCUCUGUACUGCCUCGGUGUGCCGGCGCAGCAGAUAGGCACGUUUUUCGUGCAAGAUGCCGGCAUGGCAAUCGUCAGCCCGCUCGCCGUGUCGUGCAUGGCGGGCGGACAGCUCAGCUUGGCAAGCACAGCCACGACCUCCGCUGCCACCCUCUUCACCGUCGACCCGACCCUUGCCCUAGCAGCAGGCUUAACGUGCUUCAACGUGCUUCGGCACCUCAGCCAGCGAGUCGGCUUCAACGAUCGGCUUGAUGGGUGGAUCAAGAAAACGAAGCAGGCGGUGUGCCUUGGCCUGGGACUCGUCGCGGCGAGCUCGCUCUUGGCAGGCCCACUCACGUAUGCGUUGGCGCUGCCAGCCCUUCACUUCUUUCCUCCGUACCUGGCGCCUGUGUGGUUCGGCAUGAGCGCCACUACGGCGCUGAAAACGAUCCUCGUCAACGGCACCGCACCCGGUCAAGCCAUGUUCCGUCUGCCCUCGUACCCGCCACAGCACGGCACCUACGGCGGAGAGAGCACUGCCGCGGGGCACGAGUACCGUCUCGCCUUCACGGGCGUGGACGUGGAGGAAACACGCAGCGUCUGGCAAACGCAGAAGCGUAUUCUGGACUACGAGUGCGAUGUCCGUCUGCAUCGAUUUCUGAAGCAGAUCGGGCUCUUCAGUGAUGUGGACGAGCUCGAGUACGAAGCCGACAAGCUGAAGCGCAAGCGUGCAGUGGCGCGUGAGCGGCGUCUCGCCCACACUGUACCGAACGAGGAUGUGUCUAGCAAGACGCAAGCCCCCAUACGCCGUCGCACGAUGCACGACAGCAGUGGAGAAGCGCCCCAGGAGGCGGAUGAGUACAGCAGCACCUCCCCUCGCGAGAUGGUGGCGGUGCAGAUGGAGCACGCGCAGUUGGAGGAGCUGCGAGGUCGGCAAGCCCGAAAAGCCGCACGUGAGGCCGCGUGGAAGCAGCGUCAUUGAUGCUGCAACGCGGAGCGGUGGUUGUCCUUGUUUCAUUGUUUCGAUAAGGUGGUGAAGCGAGAGCCGAACCAACGUACGCGCCUCUGUGUCUGGCGGAAGAAGUGUCGAUUGUGUUUUUAGGGAUGAGGAGAAUGAUGGGAGGGCGAGCUCGAAGGAGUGUGUGUGUGUGUGUGUGUGUGUGUGUGUGUGUGUGUAUGUGUGUGAGGGUGUUGAUUAGAAAGACCCAUCCGCUCCCUCCUUCGCGCUCGCUCUCCCAUCAUUCUUUCCGCAGCGCUUUCCCCCUCACGGUCUGCCCACCGCUGUCGUUGUCGUCUGUUAUCUCGACUAGGCUGCGAGCUCCCAUUUCUUUUGCUCUGGUGCAUCACACAGGGAGAGAGAGUGGAACUGC